GUGGUGAAGGAGCGAGGAACCGCCUGCGGGGGAAUCGAGAGGUGCAGCCUGGUGACCUCUACUUCCGCGCAUCGUCAUGAGGACGGACUGGGCCCCACCGGGCGCAGGCUGUACUGGGUUACAAAGAUUUCGUUUCAGGGUGCUGCUGCAGCAGAAGUAUAGCAGAGGAGGAGCCACCCAGUCUGACCACACCCAAUACUUCAAGGGGCUUUUAUCUCCCAAGCAUUGAAGACAUAGAACAAUUAAAAUCACUCCAUAUUCGGAGAACCUAGGCAGAGGCUGAGGCUUUCCGUGAUCUCCGCCUUCCACCGCGCCUGGCCUUGCAAGGCGUUUCUCCUCCUGGCCAGCUCCCAUCUGCAAAGACCCUCCCAGAUCUUGUGAGCAGAGGUCGCCUCCCUUCUCAGAGAUCUUUGCACAAGCCCUCUUUAGGAGACCCUCAUGCAGUCGCCAUGUUGAGAAGGCAUUUGUGGGACCAGAGCAGUAUUCCCUGCUCUGCAACCACCCCUCAGUGUUCCCUGGUGUUACUGCGCUCCCCAGUGGUCUUUACACCUUAGGCCUCCUGUGGCUGCUUGAUUUCUAAUUAACUGCACCAAUAAUAUAGUUUAGUUUGGUGUAUAAACUUCAGUGCACUGUGAGCCAAUCAAGCUUAUAAUUAUUUAGCUAGAAUUAAUAAAGGUCUCCCCCUGGCCAUCUUGACCCACACACCACCAUGUCCAGCUAAUUUUGUAUUUUUAGUAGAGAUGGGGGUUUCACCACGUUAGCCAGGCUGAUCUCAAACUCCCGACCUCAUGUGAUCCACCCACCUGGGCUUCCCAAAGUGCUGGGAUUACAGGCGUGAGCCACUGUGCCCAGCCAGGACUUAUAAAUUAUUGUGUUUUUUUUUCUUUCCCCUCUUAAGGACUUUCUUUUAACAGCAAGGACUUAUAAAUUGUCGCUGCUUCCGCUGCAUUUGAAUAAUUGGAACUAAAUUAGCCUUUGGUAUAAAGUAGGAGGUGAUCUGUAGGAUCUCUGUGCACUUAGGUAUGCUUACUUAAACCUUGUUUUGCAUUUUUCAAAGAAUAGCAAGUUUGUAUCCCGAAUAUACUUUUGACUUACGAGUAGCUAAAUUAUAGGAAUGCAUAGCUCAAACAGUCCAGAGAUGACAAGUUUACCCCAAAGGUAGGCUAAGAAUGUUUAGGUUUGUCAAAUCAGUCCUGAGAGGACCGGCUUGGAUUCCACUAAACAGAUGGAUAAAGGAAAUUAUGGAAAAGGAGACUCAAGACUCGAAGGUUUGAAGCAGAGAGACUUAGAGAAUGGUGAUAUCACUGAUAUUGAGAGAAAGAGAAAUUAGUUGGUAGUGAAAGAUUUUGAGUUAUGUACAUAUUUAAUUUUAACAUAAUGGGAUAGCCAAUUAAUAGCUGAAAAUACGUAAUUGGACAAAUGAAGGCACUCAGGGAUAAAGAAUUCAAUAUAGCAAACAUUUAAGUUGAAGUGAUAAGAGGCAUUUAAGGGGCAGCUUUCAAAUGAUUUGGGAAUUCUGGUUGUUUUAAAUAUACGUUUCUGAAAGAGUUCUUAAUGCUUGCAAAGCAUACGUAACUUCUGUCAUUGAGUUUAUACUCUUGGGUUCUUAUUUGCAUGUUCACAUGUAAUUUCAAAAGAAGAGCUAAAUAAAUUGUACUUGAUAAUUGUCCUUGAUAUGCGCUUAUACAGAAAUACUAAUUGUAAAAUGUCUAUAGCAAUAAAGUAACCCUUAUCUCCUCUCUCCACAUAAUGAGUAAACCAUGCUACCAGGGAGAUCACUUGAGGAAAUUUGCUUUCACUAAAUACAAAUGGCUUUAUUGAUUAAUCUCAUUGAUAAACACAAGUGAAAAUCAUUAAUGAUAUUUAGUUUGCAAACUCCAUUUUAUUCAUAGUUUGUGGUUUUUUUAAAUUAGUUCACAAGUCUGGUACAUACCGGCAGUUAAAACUGGUUAUCGCUUUGAAAAUCAGAAGCCUCUGGUAUAACAUAGUCUCCAUGAAAACAUAUUGUAAAACAGGGAGAAUACA